rnacentral:rRNA from 1 species
GACGAACCGUGCGAACGUUAUUCGGAAUCACUGGGCUUAAAGCGCGUGUAGGCGGGUUGGCACGUCGGCCGCUGAAAACCCCCGGCUCAACCCGGGAAGUGGCGCCGAUACGACCGACCUGGAGGGGGGUAGGGGGAGCCGGAACUUCCGGUGGAGCGGUGAAAUGCGUUGAGAUCGGAAGGAACGCCCGUGGCGAAAGCGGGCUCCUGGACCCCACCUGACGCUGAGACGCGAAAGCCGGGGGAGCGAACGGG